GGGGAUGUAGCUCAGUGGUAUAACACUUGCCUAGAAUGCAUGAGGCCCUGGGUUCAAUCCCCAGUACUACUA
rnacentral:tRNA from 1 species